rnacentral:rRNA from 1 species
UACGGAGGGUGCAAGCGUUGUCCGGAUUUAUUGGGUUUAAAGGGUGCGUAGGUGGCCCUAUAAGUCAGUGGUGAAAGCCUGCAGCUUAACUGUAGGAUUGCCAUUGAUACUGUAGGGCUUGAGUACUGAUGAGGUAGGCGGAAUUGAUAGUGUAGCGGUGAAAUGCAUAGAUAUUAUCAAGAACACCGAUUGCGAAGGCAGCUUACUAAGGAGUUACUGACACUGAGGCACGAAAGCGUGGGGAGCAAACAGG